ACGGGGUGCAGCAGGCGCGAAACCUCCGCAAUACACGAAAGUGUGACGGGGUUACCCAAAGUGUUCUAUUUAGAACUGUGGUAGGUGAGUAAUGUCCCCUACUAGAAAGGAGAGGGCAAGGCUGGUGCCAGCCGCCGCGGUAAAACCAGCUCUUCAAGUGGUCGGGAUAAUUAUUGGGCUUAAAGUGUCCGUAGCCGGUUUAGUAAGUUCCUGGUAAAAUCGGGUAGCUUAACUAUCUAUAUGCUAGGAAUACUGUUAUACUAGAGGGCGGGAGAGGUCUGAGGUACUACAGGGGUAGGGGUGAAAUCUUAUAAUCCUUGUAGGACCACCAGUGGCGAAGGCGUCAGACUGGAACGCGCCUGACGGUGAGGGACGAAAGCCAGGGGAGCGAACCGGAUUAGAUACCCGGGUAGUCCUGGCCGUAAACGAUGCAUACUAGGUGAUGGCACGGCCAUGAGCCGUGUCAGUGCCGUAGGGAAACCGUUAAGUGUGCCGCCUGGAAGUACGUCGCAAG
rnacentral:rRNA from 1 species